rnacentral:lncRNA from 1 species
CUAAGAGUUGAUAAUAAUCAAUGAGGAGGAAUAUACAGAAAUAUCACAUGAGUCAACUCACAUGAGAACUGAUGUUUCAAUAUAGGAUAUGUCAAAAAAUGAAAAAUUCAUCUUAUUUUAGAACUAAACCUCUUCCAUUCUAAUCAAAAAUAUGCUCAAUGCUGAAGAGUAAAAAUCAGUGGUUGACUUACAGACUUUUUCCCUUUCAAUCUUGUUCUGGGGCAAAAAGUCUUUUUCUUAUUACUGUUUAUUCUAAAGUACUGAUCUUCUAUUUAUAUAGUUCAUCUUCUAUUUUAAUAAUUUAUAUCCCUGGGAUAUGUGUUUAGGUCUUCUUGUCUGAAACCAGCCUGUUCCACUAUUCAGAACUUAAUGAGCUUCUUAAACAGAAACAUUUAGGGGCUGUCAAACACCUAUUGCAAACCUUAGCCCCGACUUUGACAUAUAAAUACUCCACUCAGAUUAUUCAGUAGAAUAAAUAUAUUUGGUUGUAGUUCUCCCUUUGGGCAGUAGUCACUGCUUUCUUUUCCUCCUUAUGUCAAGUCAUAAGUUUUUGAGGCUGUUGUUGCAUUUCUACUAAAUACUUGCUUGAAUAUGUGCCACUUUGUGAGAUAAGAAACCUCUAUUCCCAACAUAUAUGGAAAGAACAAACUAUAUUUACAUAAUAUUUUCAUAAAUAUUAAAAGUGAUGUGUUAAAAUAAAGAAGAUAUUUUUACCUUUCUUCAAAAAGAUAUAACAAGAAAAUAGAAAUGCAAGUACUCAUGCGUGGGAGGAAGGUGAUGUUUCAUUAUACUUUAAACUACUUUGGCAGUUGUUUUCCUUAUAUAUAUGCAGGAUAUUAAAGUGUUAGCUGUGUGUGUGUGAUUUAUUGUGAAGCCUCUUUGCCCAAAAAAGCCCUGCUAUUUUAGGGAAGUUCAAUAUAUUUCCUUUGGGGGAGAUUAAAUAAAAUAUGUUAACUCAGUUAAAUUUGGAGUCUGAUGACAAAUGACUAAAUGUGUUCAAAUGAGGCAGGCACAGGAAAUCUGUCCAGCAAAGGACUAAACUGGGAAAUAAUGUUUGAAUGUCCACUGGCACAGUUUUUCAGUGUGUUGCUCUAGAGUUCGGUAUUACAGUAUGCCAUUAAUUUUAAGUAGUGAAUUAAACAAGAGAAAUAAGAUUCUUUUAUUCUGGCACAUGCACGCAACUCAGCUCUUCAGCUGUACACUAAAAUUCAAAUGUACACAUAAAGAUAAAAUUAGGAUGGGAAAGUGGAACAUAUUUUAGAUUUUAGUCUAUGAUAUUUAAAAAAGAGAAGGAUGUCUCAACCCCAAAUUGCAUGUCGAAGUACAAUCAGGAAGUAUUGGUAUUAUAUUCUGAUACUGAAACU